rnacentral:rRNA from 1 species
AGUGAACGCUGGCGGUAGGCCUAACACAUGCAAGUCGAACGGCAGCACAGUAAGAGCUUGCUCUUACGGGUGGCGAGUGGCGGACGGGUGAGGAAUACAUCGGAAUCUACUUUUUCGUGGGGGAUAACGUAGGGAAACUUACGCUAAUACCGCAUACGACCUACGGGUGAAAGCAGGGGAUCUUCGGACCUUGCGCGAUUGAAUGAGCCGAUGUCGGAUUAGCUAGUUGGCGGGGUAAAGGCCUACCAAGGCGACGAUCCGUAGCUGGUCUGAGAGGAUGAUCGGCCACACUGGAACUGAGACACGGUCCAGGCUCCUACGGGAGGCAGCAGUGGGGAAUAUUAGACAAUGGGCGCAAGCCUGGUCCAGCCAUACCGCGUGGGUGAAGAAGGCCUUCGGGUUGUAAAGCCCUUUUGUUGGGAGAGAAAAGCAGCAGGUUAAUACCCCGCUGUUCUGACGGUACCCAAAGAAUAAGCACCGGCUAACUUCGUG